rnacentral:pre_miRNA from 1 species
UCAAUGACGCCAACUGUUUUGUUCGUUGUUCUCACAUAUUUCGUUUGUGGAAGAACGAACAAGACUGUAGAUGUCAUUGA